rnacentral:rRNA from 1 species
AUUGAACGCUGGCGGCAUGCCUUACACAUGCAAGUCGAACGGCAGCACGGGUGCUUGCACCUUGUGGCGACCGGCGAACGGGUGGGUAACACAUCGGAGCGUACCUUAUCGCGGGGGAUAACGCAGCGAACGCUGUGCUCAUACCGCAUACGCCCUGAGGGGCAAAGCGGGGGAUCGCAAGCCCUCGCGCGAUUAGCACGGCCGAUGCCUGGUUAGCUAGUUGGGGGGGUAAAAGCCCACCAAGGCGACGAUCAGUAGCUGGUCUGAGAGGACGAUCAGCCACACUGGGACUGAGACACGGCCCAGACUCCUACGGGAGGCAGCAGUGGGGAAUUUUGGACAAUGGGGGCAACCCUGAUCCAGCAAUGCCGCGUGAGUGAAGAAGGCCUUCGGGUUGUAAAGCUCUUUUGUCAGGGAAGAAACACCGGCUCUAACACAGUCCGGGAAUGACGGUACCUGAAGAAUAAGCACCGGCUAACUACGUGCCAGCCGCCGCGGUAA